UGUCCUCUGAAGGGGGGCCCGACAGAAAAAAUUUGAGAAUCACUGAGUUAACUGCAGGUUGUAUGAUAGGAAAUAACAAAAUCUGCAGUCAGAUUUUGUAGGGUCAGCUAAAAUCUGACUCUGUUUUUUUGGUAAUGCAAGAAGUGACAAACUCCAAAUUUUCUCAGCUGGAACAUCUGCACCUCUGGUGCUGUUUAUAAAAACAUAGUCAAUGGAUCAAAUGCAACUUGAGUCCUGUAAUGACUCAUGGACUCAUGAGUCCACCUCAUGAGUCCACCUCAUGAGUGAAAUUGUUGCAAAUUUGCAGUUCAGAGUGUGGGGCGCUGGGAUAUGUAGUGUUUGUCAGAUCUUUAGACACUGGUGGUGCGGACAUAUGAGAAGAGGAGGAGAGACCUGUCACCUAAUCAUAUUCAACAGGAGAACAUGUCCACAGUUUGGUACUUAAUCACUUUUAACCUGAAAACCAGUAGAAAACAACAUCAAAAAACAGUAAACGUACAACAGAAAAGCCGUUAAGUGGCCAUAGAGUGAAACGUAAGUCGCGCGCGUUCACGCGAAGUGGGAGUCAGAUUUUGCCGGGGAGUAGGAAAAUACACCUGCCCCAACCAUUGCAGUUUUCUCACUGGUCUGUUCAGUACAGUGUGUGAGCUGCUGCGGGAAGCUACGGCGGCUAACCUGCGUCUGGCUCCCUCUUCCUUGUGUGUGUGGGUGCUGCACAGCCUUCUGGAGGUACGUGGUCUGUUCUUCUGGGGUAAGGCAUCACCUCACAAACUUACUGUAUUAACCUGUGUCUUCUGUGUCCCCUGGAUGUGUCAAAUGUGCCAUUUGGCCUUGUUAUCCCGCUGCUGCUUUGCCGUGACAACGGUUCGCCUUGGUUGUCGCAGGCUGAGUUGCUUCGCUGCUAACCGCAGCCUGGCUGCGCGGCUAUCUCUGUCUGUCCUGCCUCCUCACUGAUCAGAGCAGCUUGGUUUUAUUUUCUUGCUGCUGUUUAUUCGCACAGCAGUACUUUUAUAUUGUUUUAAACUGUGUAUACAGUGGGAACACUUUCCCACCCUUAUUUGAUAGGUUUUGUUUUUUUCCUCUUGUCAUUUGGCCUUGUGGCCUAUAUUGGUUUAAUUAAUUUGUUUAGUUUUCUUUUUUCUGUGAUUUAGUAAUUAUUUUGUGUUCUGUAUAUUUUUGAUUACAAUAUAUCUUUCUUUGACUUUGUUAUUAGGUAUAUUUGUAGUUUAAUCUUCUUUUUUUGUUGAGUGUUCCCACUAAUUGUGUUUCUUUGAUGGCAGAGGCUGAGCACCUGUGGUGGUGUGGUGUCUUCGGUGGCGGUACCCCUUCCUCGUGUGGCCUGUGAACCUUGGGUUUUUUUUGGUUUGUCCUUCACGUGUAUGCAAUUUGUUUAUUCACCUGGUGCCCUCCCCCUGGGAUCUGCUCCUUCCCCCCAUUGACACUCUUCCUCCCAGUAAGCCAGCCUCUACCCUGUCGCACUCCCCUCCCUUUUUUUUAGUAUAUUUGUUUUAAUUAGGGUUUUAAUUGAUUGUUAAUAAAUUCAUUGAAUUGUGAUUGAACAA